rnacentral:misc_RNA from 1 species
GAUGAAGAACGCAGCGAAAUGCGAUAAGUAGUGUGAAUUGCAGAAUUCAGUGAAUCAUCGAAUCUUUGAACGCACAUUGCGCCCCUUGGUAUUCCAUGGGGCAUGCCUGUUCGAGCGUCAUUUGUACCUUCAAGCUUUGCUUGGUGUUGGGUGUUUGUCUCGCCUUUGCGUGUAGACUCGCCUUAAAACAAUUGGCAGCCGGCGUACUUGUUUCGGAGCGCAGCACAUUUUGCGAUCCAGAUCAACGUACAGCGGCAUCCAAGAAGCCUUAUUUAACGCUCUUGACCUCGGAUCAGGUAGGGAUACCCGCUGAACUUAAGCAUAUCAACAAGCGGAGGA